GGCUGAGGCUCGAGGCGCUGGGUUUGCAGCACUGGGUGGAGCAGCUCUUUCCAUCGUGGAGGCUGUCACUGUCUGUGUGCUGUCCUAAAGGGAAGAGGGAGAGAGCGUUGUGCCUCGUAAAGCUCCACUGCCUGUCAGCAGGUUCAUGGGCUGCUGUCUUCCAUGGGAUACACCUGAAGGACCCUGCAGGGCUGAGCAGGGGAUGAGACACCUGCGAGCAGACCCUCGAGGUUGUGAUCUCUGUUCCCUUUUGUCCAGGGAGGAAGAGGGUCCUUUGGUUCGUCAGUCACACAUUGUGCAACCCAUGUGCAUUGCUGACCUUUGGCUUUUCUUGUUUGGUGUUUUUCGCAGGCAGUGGUGCUUUGAGGUCAAACCCAGCACUUUGAGGUCUUAUCUUCAUGAGCAAGAGCAGUUGUCUGAUUCCAGGUAGCCAAGAGCAUCAGGCACUUGUCUGGGAUGCAGAUUCAACUCCCUCCUGUGACUGAGACCCCAACAUAUCAUUGCUGGGGAUCCUGACACAAUGAAAUAGGCACUGGAAGCAGGCGCCAGAGUCAGGAGGGAGAGCAGAUGGUGACCUGGUUUUGCCAGUGAAAGAAUGAGGCUGGAAAGGCACCGUUGAAGUGAGGACACAGGGAAGAGGCUGCCUGGCAGUGCCUUACAUAAACAAGAGUUCAUUUGAGCCAGCCCUGGCCUGAGAGGGCGUGAGACCUGCCUCUUCCCAUGCUCCAGGAGGAAGAUGUGGUGGGGAGGUGAUGGUGGAAAAUGUAGAUCCUUGUGGUGCUUGAUUCUUAACCCGUGGUGUUAAAAGUGCAUGUGGUACUAUGGGAGGAGUUUGUCCAUCAUGUAGAUGGUCUCUGAUUGUCACUGCAGAAGUGAUGCUCCAUGAGAUAGACCCCACUGUUCAUGUUUCUGCCUGAUCCCCAAUAUUUGUCCAAAGCAGGAAGGAUGAGUGUGUUUUUCCCUUUGUUUUCCCAUGUGCAGUUAACUAUUUGAAGAUGAUUCACUGUUAUGCACAUAAACAUAUGCUUCUGCUUG